rnacentral:rRNA from 1 species
UAGUCCGCACGAGCGCACCCUCGUCCUUAGUUGCCAGCAUUAAGUUGGGCACUCUAGGGAGACUGCCGGUGACAAACCGGAGGAAGGUGGGGAUGACGUCAAGUCAGCAUGCCCCUUACGUCCUGGGCGACACACGUACUACAAUGGCCGAGACAAAGGGCAGCAACCUCGCGAGAGCAAGCGAAUCUCAUCAAACUCGGUCUAAGUUCAGAUUGCAGGCUGAAACUCGCCUGCAUGAAGGAGGAAUCGCUAGUAAUCGCCGGUCAGCAUACGGCGGUGAAUCCGUUCCCGGGCCUU